AGGAAGAAGAGAGUUAGUGCACUCUGGAGGCUGUGUGUGUUGAAGUGUGAAUGCCUAUACAAAAAUAGAUGGGAGACGCUGGAGGUCUCAAAGCAGCGAGCUGCAAAUGGAGGCUUAUGAGGUGGAUCUAUUUCGACCAUCUUCCCUUUGCAAGAGAGAAAAGACAAUCGUAGGCAGCGGGGAGAGGCACCCGACCCUGAUUUUCAGGGAUUGCCUGGACACAUUGUGGCAGUGAACCCCACCUGCCUUUUGGCCAGACCAGCUGCCGGACCCUUCCUGCACCUUCCAGAGAGGACUCUGCUGGGGUAAGUGGAUUCAGCCAAGCUGCGAGUGCACCAGCCGCUUGUGUUGGGCCUCACCGUACUGCUCCUUGCAGCAGCAUCUCAGCCUGCUAAAUGCUGCCCUACAGAGGAUGCUGCUGUCAGGCAGCUCCGCACCUGGCAGCUUCCUGCCUCUCCCAGUGGUUUGCUUCAUUUGCGAGGCUGCUGUAUCGCAGAGGAAUUCCGCAGCGGCACCGCUGUGGAUCAGCGGAAAGCAUCUCGCUGGGAAAGUUUUCUGUAAAUAACACCUCGGUUGGGUUUUGCCUCAGCUUCACCUAUUAUUUCCAAAUGAUGUGGCUGAUGGUGUGCACAGGCUCCUGCCUGCUCGCAGACACCAUCAUCCCCUGUGUGACCCGAGCAUUUUCCAGUUGCAACACUGCAACCAAAGGCUUGUGGUGUCCCAUGUGGCGGCCACAGCAGCAGCAGGCACAUGUGGGAAGCCCCAGUCCUAUUUCCAUGCAGAUUCCCCCCUUACUAACAAUUGUUGUUUCAACAAGGGAGUAGGAAUCUAGCCCCCGAGGCUCGCUGUUUGGGGUUACAUAGGUGGCACACAAAGACUGCCCCUGAGAGCGACAGGAGCCGAGUGCCCCGGAACCCGCAGCCCCCCCGGGCCUGCAGCCCGAGUGCGUUAAGCGGGUGAGCGGAGCGUGUGCGGGGAGCCGGGGCCGGGAAGGGCUUGCGGGCGGAGCCGGGCGCA